GCCCAGUGAUGAGACCAAGGCGAAUAUGAGCCCACUGAAUUUGAGUCUGAGCUCUCCUGUGUUCCCAUUGGCUGGUAAUCUUGGCUGGGCAGUGAAGGUUUGCUGUCUUGCUGUAAGGGCCUGCCUACAUUCAACAAGCCUCUUCCUCUUAAAUUUCUAUCCUUUGAAGAUGUAGGGAAGGAGAAAGGAGGAGGCUUACAUUUGUUUUUUUUGUGUGUGUGUGGGUCGCAGGUUGAGCCUCAGGUCUCUGCAUUAAUUCUGUUGGCGCUGAGCUCUCUCUUUGGUAAUCUGAGGGCA